GAGUGUAGUUUGCUUCAAGUUGGACUGAUGGGAUAGGUGAGGGUAUAUAUAGGAUAGACCAAAAAUUUGACCAUUACACACAUUUCUGCAAAACUCAGAGGCUCUAACUGGUUCUCCUUGGUGUCUUUGAAGUGAACAAAAGAGUCAACUUUCACAUGCAUUGGUAGGUCCGAAUGAAGAUCAAUUGGUGGCUCCGAGGUGAGUACCUUGGCAUUGGCACACUCUCUAUUUAUGCUUCGGAGGUUCCUACUAGAUUUACCCAUAAUUUCGGAUGUGAUAACAGAAGGUUUGCCAAGUUGCUUUGGUGGCUCCAAGUCAAACGUUGGAGGCUCCGAUUGAACUAGGGUUUGAAACAAUGGCUAUAUCUGGUCGUUUCAGUGGCGCUGAGUGAAACUGCUUCGGCAACACCGAAUGGAAUUUGAAUUAGGUAGAUAUAGUGGAAAUCUUAAACGAUUUUGAGAAGUUUUUUUGGAGUUUGAUCUUUAAGCACAUGGAGCAAAAGGCAUGCCUAUGUACUCAAUUUUGAUCUUGGCUCACUAAAAUGAAAAUGUAGAAUCCUUUGGCUUCUCCAACACUUAUCUUUAAGCAUUUUAGGGGCCACUUACAAUGUUGUACCUAAAAGAGCAUUUUCUUAAAAUCUACUUUGAAGUAUC
rnacentral:lncRNA from 1 species